AUCCGAUUGUGUAUGAGCCAGAUGCUUGUCUGUUCCCAAGUUACCUGUUAGACAACAAACAGGUAGAGCAAAAGUGGGAAUCAGACAAUCCAGAGGACCUAAAUAUCCAUAUUUACUUCCUACCUGAGAUACCACAUCAUUUCUUUCACAGGCUUGCCAUCAGGGCGUGCUCCUUAUACUCUCCAUACUGGAUCGGAAAAGACCAGUGUGUGCUGUGCUGUGGUGACAGACGGUUUCUGCUCAGAGAACACCGUGAUGAGGACCAGUUUAUUGAGAUCCGCUGCAAAGAGACUGAGCUUGAAACUUCAGAAGACAUCCAGAAAGCAUGGGAAGUGAUAAGGAAGAUUAUGACACGGCUGAACAAACUGACAGAGCAGUGGCAAGGGCUGUACCUGACUGUCCACAGUCCCUGUAAAUCCAGCGACUGUGAUGAAUACUUUGAAUGGAACGACUGGCAAGAAUGGUUAGAAGAUUCAGGGACAAGCAAAUUUAAUAUAGGACUUGAAGAAAAACACACUUGCCUUAAUGGACACCAACGAAGGACAGAGUUGCUGUUCCCUAGAAGUAAAUGCAUUUAUUUACAGAGAAAUACAACAUGCAUUUAGUCUUCUGCCAUUUAUAAUUCUUACAAUUUU
ensembl:lncRNA